GAUGAACGCUGGCGGCGUGCCUAAUACAUGCAAGUCGAGCGAACAGACGAGGAGCUUGCUCCUCUGACGUUAGCGGCGGACGUGUGAGUAACACGUGUAUACUCUACUUAUCAGUCUGGUAUAUUUUCGAGAAUCCGGAUCUUAUCCCGGAGAAUAUAUUGCACCGUAUGGUUGAAUAGUGAAAUUCGGCUUUUCUGUCUCUUCUAGCUGCUUCCCCGCCGCUUUAUCUAGUAGUUACGGUAACGGCUUACCAAGGCAACCAUGCGUGGCCGACGUGAGAGAGUGAUCGGCGGCAUGGGAAGUGGGACACGGUCCAGGCUCCUGCGGGAGGCAGCAGUAGGGAAUCUUACGCAGUGGGCGAGAGCCUGACGGAGCAAGGCGGCGUGAGAGGUGACGGUGUUCGGAUCGGAAAGCUCUGUUAUGGGGGAAGAACAACUGUGUAAGUAGCUAUGCACGUCUUGACGGUAACUGGUCAGAAAGCAACGGCUAACUACGUG
rnacentral:rRNA from 1 species